UGGGGAAUAUUGGACAAUGGGCGAAAGCCUGAUCCAGCCAUGCCGCGUGUGUGAAGAAGGUCUUCGGAUUGUAAAGCACUUUAAGUUGGGAGGAAGGGCAGUAAGCGAAUACCUUGCUGUUUUGACGUUACCGACAGAAUAAGCACCGGCUAACUCUGUGCCAGCAGCCGCGGUAAUACAGAGGGUGCUAGCGUUAAUCGGAAUUACUGGGCGUAAAGCGCGCGUAGGUGGUUCGUUAAGUUGAAUGUGAAAGCCCCGGGCUCAACCUGGGAACUGCAUCCAAAACUGGCGGGCUAGAGUAGGGCAGAGGGUGGUGGAAUUUCCUGUGUAGCGGUGAAAUGCGUAGAUAUAGGAAGGAACACCAGUGGCGAAGGCGACCACCUGGGCUCAUACUGACACUGAGGUGCGAAAGCGUGGGGAGCAAACAGG
rnacentral:rRNA from 1 species